rfam:Nematostella vectensis strain CH2 x CH6 NEMVEscaffold_1093_Cont34989, whole genome shotgun sequence.
CCUUCGAUAGCUCAGUUGGUAGAGCGGGGGACUAGAUUUAUAAUUGUGAUCCCUAGGUCGCUGGUUCGAAUCCAGCUCGAAGAC